rnacentral:rRNA from 1 species
UACGAACUGUGCGAACGUUAUUCGGAAUCACUGGGCUUACAGGGUGCGUAGGCGGCUAAUCAGGUCAGGUGUGAAAGCCCUCGGCUCAACCGAGGAACUGCGCUUGAAACCGGAUGGCUCGAGUCAACUAGAGGUGCACGGAACUUCCAGUGGAGCGGUGAAAUGUGUUGAUAUUGGAAGGAACACCGGAGGCGAAAGCGGUGCACUGGGGUUGGUCUGACGCUGAGGCACGAAAGCCAGGGGAGCGAACGGG